rnacentral:misc_RNA from 1 species
CCAAUAGCGUAUAUUAAAGUUGUUGUGGUUAAAAAGCUCGUAGUUGAACCUUGGGCCUGGCUGGCCGGUCCGCCUCACCGCGUGUACUGGUCCGGCCGGGCCUUUCCCUCUGUGGAACCUCAUGCCCUUCACUGGGUGUGACGGGGAAGCAGGACUUUUACUGUGAAAAAAUUAGAGUGCUCCAAGCAGGCCUAUGCUCGAAUACAUUAGCAUGGAAUAAUAAAAUAGGACGUGCGGUUCUAUUUUGUUGGUUUCUAGGACCGCCGUAAUGAUUAAUAGGGACAGUCGGGGGCAUCAGUAUUCAAUUGUCAGAGGUGAAAUUCUUGGAUUUAUUGAAGACUAACUACUGCGAAAGCAUUUGCCAAGGAUGUUUUCAUUAAUCAGAAACGAAAGUUAGGGGAUCGAAGACGAUCAGAUACCGUCGUAGUCUUAACCAUAAACGAUGCCAACCAGCGAUUAGCCUGAGUUCCUUAAAUGACUCGGCGAGGGACUUCCG